UACGGAGGGUGCAAGCGUUAUCCGGAUUUACUGGGCUUAAAGGGUGCGUAGGUGGGUAGGUAAGUCAGUGGUGAAAUCUUCGAGCUUAACUCGGAAACUGCCAUUGAUACUAUUUAUCUUGAAUACUCUGGAGGUAAGCGGAAUAUGUCAUGUAGCGGUGAAAUGCUUAGAUAUGACAUAGAACACCAAUUGCGAAGGCAGCUUACUACAUAGUUAUUGACACUGAGGCACGAAAGCGUGGGGAUCAAACAGG
rnacentral:rRNA from 1 species